GAAUGUGUUGUCUUAGGAUCCUGGAAUUGAGCCAGCACCUGGACCAUUCCAAGUGUAGGUGGGCCAACAGGGACUUGGUGGGUCCAGGGGCUCAUUUUCUCCCAAAUGUAAGUGUUCCUGCAACCAAAUUCUUAGAGCACAAGUGGAACCUCUUAGUGAUAAAAGAUGCCUAUGCUAUGUUAUUCUUCCACUAUUUCAGGCCUAUUGACGGUGUUUUCAUAUGUAGAUUUUAUAGUUUAUCCACCGUCAAUACCCAUACUCUCUCAAUCUCUCUUGUUGCUAUCACCCUAAAGAGAUAGAUCCAUUCGAGGGACCCCUCUAUGUCUAACUGUCUCUAGAAAAUAUGAAUUAGGAUUUUAGAGUUACAUCUCAGGGGGGUCGGGUCUUUAUUUAUAGCCCCCUAGGAAUCAUCACAGCCAUUAGAUCAAACCGACUUAAAUGUGUGCUUAAGAUUAAUCCUCAAAGUCGAUGGAGGCAAGAUCCAUGUAACACCCGAAAUACUGAUUUUCAAUUUAUAGGAUUUAAUUUAAUUUAAUUAAGUGUUUUUGUGGGCAUUUGAAUCUAGCAAACAAAUAAUUUUGUGAAAAUUAAAACUCAUCAUAAGUUCAGAAACAUGUUAUGCAUUCAUGCUGGAGCAUAUUUAAUUCUGUGCUUUUGGCUUUUUGGUUUGAAUGUAUUUGAUUCAAAUUCACUUGUGAAAAUGCUUUGGAAAAUAAAAAAAAAAAAGAAAACCCUGCCAACCCCCUGGGCCUAAUCCCUUUCCCCCGGCCCGCUUCCCUUUCCCCCCACCGCACCGCAGCGGCCCAAACGGCCCAGGCAGGUGCGCUCCCUCUCCUCUCUCACCGCCAACCGGGCCCCGCGCGUCAGUCUCCCCUAUCCCACCUUCCUUCUUCUUCCCAGCCGUGUCGCGAGCAGGGGAAGCUUCCUUCCCGAGCCAAAACCGUAAUCUCGCGAUCCCUUGCCUUUUUCGAGGAAUCAAACCUCUAUAAAGUUCCUAAGCACCCCGAGGGACCCCUUUCGCACCCACGGAGUUCUAUCCGAGCCCUAGCCGUCGCGUUCUUCGGAGUUUGGAUCUCGCCGUGAACUCCUACCGCCGCCGCGCGCAACUGCUCCUUCCCGGGCCGAGCCGACCUCCGUGGUGAGCUCGCCAUUCCUUUCUCUUCACUCCAGUGCCUUCGGUGUUGUUUUUGGUGAACCGCAGCGUCGCUUUGGUGAACUCCGGCGAGGAGCUUGACGCCGGCAAUGGAAAUCCGCCGCGGCCGCUCCUGUUCCGGCGAGGAGGCCGGCCAGCCCCGCCC
rnacentral:lncRNA from 1 species